GGCUCUUUGUAUAUUUUAGAUAGGGAGUCGUACCUGCCCGGUGAUAUUUUAACGGCCGCAGUACUUUGACUGUGCAAAGGUAGCAUAAUCACUUGCCUUAUAAUUGAAGGCUGGAAUGAAUGGUUUGACAAGAAUAUAACUGUCUCUAUGUAAUUUUAUAAAAUUUGAUUUUUAGGUGAAGAAGCCUAAAUUUAAUUGAAAGACGAGAAGACCCUAUCGAGCUUUAAAGGAAUUAGUAAAAGAGAUAAUUAAACAAUUUGAAAUUAACUUUACUAAAAAUUUUGGUUGGGGCGACAGAGGAAUCAGAAAAGCUUCCUUUAAUUAAGAGCUAUUAACAAAUAAUGACCCGGAAAAUUACGAUUAAAGGAUAUAGUUACCGUAGGGAUAACAGCAUAAUUCUUUUUAAGAGACCAUAUCGAAAAAGGAGUUUGUGACCUCGAUGUUGGACCAAAAUAUCCUAAAGAUGCAGUAGUCUUUAAAGGUUGGUCUGUUCGACCAUUAAAAUUUUA
rnacentral:rRNA from 1 species